GACGGAGGGUGCUAGCGUUGUUCGGAAUGACUGGGCGUAAAGGGCGCGUAGGCGGCUCGUGAAGUCGGGUGUGAAAGCCCGGGGCUCAACCCCGGAACGGCAUCCGAUACUGGCGGGCUUGAGACCGGGAGAGGAGGGUGGAAUACCCAGUGUAGAGGUGAAAAUUCGUAGAUAUCGAGAGGAACAUCGGUGGCGAAGGCGGCCUUCUGGACGGUGACUGGACGCUGAGACGCGAAAGCGUGGGAGCAAAACAGG
rnacentral:rRNA from 1 species